CCCACGGCAAAUGGAUACUAAAGUCUUCAAAAAAGAAUAGAUACGAGUUACGUUACUGUAGUAACAGAGUCUACCAUACCAGCACUAAUGCACCGGAUCCCAUACGAACUCCGCAGUUAAGCGUGCUUGGGAGAGAGUAGUACUAGGAUGGGUGACCUCUCGGAAUGUCCUCUCGUUGCUACCCUC
rnacentral:rRNA from 1 species